rnacentral:lncRNA from 1 species
CCACUUCAACUCCUUUGCUUCCCCUAUAAAUAGAGCACUAUCCCCACUCAUUUUUCAAGCUUGAAAGCCACAAAACCUCUGUCCAAAUCACAUUCAAGCUCCCUCUUUUCAACCUAAACCCUAACUCACCCAAACCCUACCUCUGUCCAAAUCACAUUCAAGCUCCCUCUUUUCAACCUAAACCCUAACUCACCCAAACCCUCUUUUCUCCUUUGAACCAC